rnacentral:lncRNA from 1 species
AGCUCCAUCGUUGUCCCUGAGUCUGAAUCACAAUAGAAGUCUGCCGUAGCCGCCGGGAUUCUGGGUCACACCCCAUCUCAUCUCAAUCGGACUCCCUCUUGUCGCACCCUGGCUAUAGGGUAUAAAGAUCAACCUUCACCAAACCGUAGUGCCAUCGUCGUCGCGUCGAAGCAGAGGGUGAGGGAGCCGUCGCAUGGCGUGCGUAGGCUGCCGCCACCAAGGAAACGCGCGAACAUCGUCCUUCAAGAACCAACCAAAGAAAAGCUACACCAAGACGCAACAAAAGGUGACCGCUGCACCCGUACGAUGAAAGGGCCCGUGGUGACCACUGGAUUUCUCGCAGGAGCAAUUAAACCACCCGGAACCGCCAUCCUCGUCUCCAAGGUCCUGCGAGGCACGAUAACUGGUAAGUUGUUUGGGAAUUUCUCUAUUGUACCUCCAUCUCACGUAUCAGUAGUUUCGGUGAGGAAUGGGUGCCGUCGUGUCGGGAUAACUAUCUCCGGCGAGGGCGCCACCGCGGGACUCUAAACACCGCCGCGGCUCGGGUUGGUGGAGAAGUGCUAGAAGCCGUUGGAUGGGGAGUGAGCGGAUAGGAUUAGAACGGGGUGUCCCCUUGGCCACAUUAAAUCACCACCACACGAUUGAAGAUCUACGGCCGGGUUCAGAUCUGGCGUGGGUGUAAUACCCAACUUGUGGAUAAUAAAAGAGAAGAAUCAAUCUCCAUAUGUGCAUUGUCAUCUAUCCAUUAGAACUUAUGAAUGGUCAUGUUUAAAGUGGAUAAGUCGACUAAGGAAACAUAAAUAAUCCAUGCAUCAUGUUGGAGGUUAUUUGUUUGUGCACUUAAUAAUAAUAAUAUAUUAAUAAUGAAGUUAGGGAUUACCCUAAAUUGGGAUCUAGAAUUUGAAAAUGAGAUAGAAAAAGAAAGAGAAGCAAAAGAAAAGGAUAUGCACAAAACAAAUAUAUAUAUAUAUAUAUAUAUAUAUAUAUAUAUAUAUAUAUAUAUAUUCAUGAUGAUACUUCUAUUUGUGCACUUAAUAUGUGCAAGAAACUCGCCAACAAAAAUUUAAAUUCAAAUAUCAAAAUUUGGAAAUUUAGAAGGAAAUACAAAACAGGAAUAAUAAAAGAAAAACAUAAAACGCCGACCUCGGCCCAAGACUUCGCUCCGGCCCAACACAACACCUACCCUCGCGGCCUAGCCUAUAUGAGACGUUGACAUGUGGGGCCUACGCGGACGGUCGCCCUCGCAUCUGCUGCCCUCGCUGACACCUGGGGCCACGCGGUCAGAGUCCACCGCGCGCACCCUAUGCACUGCAGAGUGGGACCCACUCGUCAACUAUCGAUUCAGCUCGUGUCGUCCGGUGGAAGUAGUGCUGGUCGCUUACGAGUGGACCCUUCUUGUCCGGAUCGUCCCCAACUUGCGGACGAGUUGUUCCAACCACCUUGCAUUGUGCUACCGGGGAAAUCGAGUCGGCCUCCUCCGUGCUCGGGGUUAAAAGCCGGGACCCUUGGACUCGACUCGCGCAUCCCCCUUGACCAUCCCAUCUCCCGCUCCCUCCACUGUAAGACCCCUCGGCCAUGAGGCGAUCUGGGAGUCAAUCCACCACUAGAAAUCAACGCCUCCUUCCCUUAUCCAUUGGUGUGGAGUACCCUGGGUGACCGAGGCGACUCGGCGGACAUCACGGGAAGGGCUCGGUGGCUACGUGAGGUCUGUGCGUGCGGAAUUGCUCGCCGGGGUUGCGAAAUCACCGUCGUGCUGCAAGACGUCAGCAUUGGACCUCUGCACCACGCAAUCCUUUGGCAAGAAGUCCUUGCUGAGCGCACUAGAUCACUAGCUACGUUCGACACCUCUCGGUAUGGUGUUUGGGCCACUGUCGCGUUGAUUUAGUUGACGCCGGUAAUGGCGCCGCCGUCAUGCGGGGGGACCACCGCUCUGGCCAUCGGUGGCGAUGGGUGGCGGUUUCUAACCGCCAAUUACCGCGCGGAUGACUGAGAUUAGCGGUCGGGUACCAAUUUGGGGGGGUUGAAUCGUGACCGUCGUGAUCUGAUCUAUCGGCUCGGGUGCGAGCUGUGCGUGGACGAGGCUGAGCCAUGGAUCUUAGGCGACUUUUGCGUGGAGUGUCUUUUAAAUAAAAUACUUCGAUUAACGCACUUGUUGUGAUAUUCCGGCUGCACCCUUAGGUGACUUUUGCGCGGAGUGUCUUUUAAAUAAAAGACUUCGAUUAACGCACUUGUUGUGCUAUUCCGGCUGCACCCUUAGGCGACUUUUGCGCAGAGUGUCUUUUAAAUAAAAGACUUCGAUUAACGCACUUGUUGUGCUAUUCCGGCUGCACCCUUAGGCGACUUUUGCGUGGAGUGUCUUUUAAAUAAAAGACUUCGAUUAACACACUUGUUGUGCUAUUCCGAGUGCACCAUUAGGCGACUUUUGCGUGGAGUGUCGCACGCGAGGGUAGUCUGCGCUGCCUCUCGCGGUGACUUCAGAGUGGUCGAAUGCCGAAGACCGUCGAUGCGGUCUUUUUCGACAUGUUGCAUCUUAGUUUUUGCGGGGGAUUUUUACAGGUAUAUUACAUGGCUCCGCCUCGUUAAAAACCUCACCCCCUGGGAGGAAAAGAGUGCGGGCCAGAAUAAUAUUGUUUUGUGAAUUACAAGGGCGCGUGGGCCCUGAGGAUUUAAACAAAAAAUUUGCGGAGAUUGUCAAUAUUCCAGGAAUGCUCUAGGUCUUCGCCGAAUGGCGUUGUUAGCCUGUACGUGCUGGGGGACGUCUUCGACUUGACGAUGAAUGGACCCCCCACUUUGGCUCCAAGUUGCCCCGUGACUCUGUCCGGUUGUUUCGGACGAGUAUGAGGUCUCCUUCGUUGAAUUCUCUUGGGACGACUGCGUAGUCACGCCAUGCCUUCGUUUGAGCUUGGUAUUUGUUGAGCACCUGCAGGGCGAAGACGCGGUAUCCGUCGAUGAGGUCUUUGGACGUUGGUUCGUCUAUGUCGGGGACGACUGAUGCGCUUUUUCGAGGUGACCCAUGCUUUAUUUCCUGCGGGGUCAUGGCCUCUGAUCCAUAUAGUAGAUGGAAAGGAGUGAAUCCAGUUGCCCGGCAUUCGGUCAUGUUUAGUGCCCAGACUACUUCAGGUAGCUGGUCGGCCCAUUUACCCUUCCUGUCGUCGAGAAGCCUUUUCUUGAUAGCAGUGAAAACCUUGCCGUUGGCGCGCUCGACGACGCCGUUAGAUUGCAAGUGGUAUACCGAGGCAAAGGCAAGCUUGGUGCCGAUGGAGAAGCAGAAGUCCUGAAGUCCUGGCUGUCAGACUGUUUGCCAUUGUCGACUGUGAGCUCGGACGGGAAUCCGAAUCGGCAAACAAUGUUUUGCCAGAAGAACUUUUGGGAAGUCUUCGAUGUUAUUGUGGAUACUACCCUUGCCUCGAUCCACUUAGUAAAAUAUUCGAUGGCGACAAAGGUGAACUUGAGGUUCCCUUGAGCCGUGGGUAGUGGCCCGACAAUAUCCAGCCCCCAGCGUUGAAGUGGCCAUGUGUGGGCAAUCAGCUUGGUGAACUGUGAAGGGUUGCCUGAGCGAGGAGAAAACUUCUGGCAGGCUUUGCACGACCUCGUGACUCGAUUCACGGCGCAGAUUAUAGCGGGCCAGUAGAACCCUUGACGGAUCACCUUGGCAGCAAGGGCCCUAGGCCCUGAGUGAGAGCCACAAGUUCCGCUAUGGACUUCGCGCAGGAUCUGGAUGCCUUCGGUUUCGGUGACGCAUUUAAGCAUGGGUUGACUGACCCCCUUCUUGUAUAGCUAGCCCUCAAUAAGUGCGAAGUCCCGGCUUUGGUGCUUGAGGCGCUUGGCCUCGUUGACGUCACUUGGGUGGUAAUAUCCUUGCAGGAACAGGGUUAUUGGGGCCCGCCAAUCUUCAGUCAUGAUGAGGUUGACGAUGCGAUGGCCCUCGGCGUCGUUGGUUAUUUGUAGACCCUCUGGAUUGCGGAUGGCUGGUGUGCCAAUGACAUGGUAGAACACGUCGGAGGGAAAGGCUUCGCCUCUGGCCGCUGCUUUGGCCAAUGCAUCGGCCUCUUUGUUCCUGGCACGGUCCACAUGCUGCAAGGUGAAACCCUUGAAUUGUCUCUCAAGACUGCGUACGGCCGUAAGAUACUGCAUGAGUGCGUGGUCUUUUGCUGAAUAUUCUUUUUCGACCUGGCCAACAACAAUUUUGGAGUCUGUCUUGACUAUGCAGGUGGUGACGCCGAGUGCUUUCAGCUUGCGAAGGCCCAGGAUGAUGGCUUCGUACUCCGCUAUGUUGUUGGUGCACCUGUCGGACUCAAGAGCGAAGCUAAGGCGUGCUGCGUAUCUGUGCUUGAUGACGGUGGGUGAUGUGAUAAUUGCAGUCGCGCCUGCCCCCGCAUGGCACCAUGCACCGUCACAGUGGAUGGUCCACACCUUCUCUAAGGGCUCUUCUUGUUGCCGUGUCGGCCCUGUCCAGUCGACGAUGAAGUCUACGAGGACUUGCGACUUGAUUGCUGUCCUGGGCUCGAAGGUGAUAUGGUACCUGGAGAGUUUGGCUGCCCAUUUGGCGAUUCGGACGAACGCCUUCGGGUUUCUGAAUAAUUUGCCCAGUCCCCUGUCCGAGGUGACCCGCACCUUAAAUGCCUCGAAAUAGUGUCGCAACUUGCGCGAUGCCAUGACGACUGCGUAGGAAUUUUUUUCUAAUUCCUUCAUGUUGCAUUUGGAAGUUGUCAGGACUUCGGAGACAUAGUAGACUGGACACUACCGGGUCGUGCCCUCUCUAUCUUGCUCUUGGACCAACGCUGCGCUGACUGCAUGUGUCGAGGCUGCGACGUAGAGCAGUAGAGGCAGCGAGGAGUCGGGACUGGUAAGAAUUUCCAAUUCUGACAGGUGCUGCUUGAGUGAUGCGUAGGCUACCGCUUGUUCUGGUCCCCAUGCGAAGUCUUUUGCGCCAUGCAGUGCCUUGAGGAAAGGUAGACUCCGCUCUGCAGACUUGGAGAUGAAUCUGUUCAGAGCGGCUAAUCUGCCUGUCAGACGCUGGACGUCCCUGGUUGACUGCGGGGGUGUCAUGUUAGUGAUUGCUUGAAUCUUGGUCGGGUUGGCCUCAAUCCCGCGGUGCGACACCAGGUAGCCCAGUAUCUUCCCCUGGCGAACUCCGAAGGCGCACUUCUCGGGGUUCAGGCGAAGUCGUGCGUCCCGCAUAUUUGCGAAUGUCUCUGCGAGGUCGGCCAGGUGAUCCUCUUUAUUUUUGCUGGCGACGACGAUGUCGUCCACAUACAUGAAAAUGUUCCGGCCUACUUGGCUCUCGAGCACCGUCUUGGUGAGGCAAGAGAAGGUUGACCCAGCGUUCUUGAGUCCCUCCGGCAUCCUGAUGAAGCAGUAUGUGCCGAAGAGUGUGAUGAAACUGGUACUGGCCUUGUCUUCCUCCUUCAUGUAUAUUUGGUGGUAGCCGGAGAAGCAGUCCAGAAGUGACAUGACUUCGCUUCCGGCUGCACUAUCGACUAUCUUGUCGAUCCGUGGCCGCGGGAAAUUAUCCUUGGGGCAGGCCUUGUUGAGGCUGGUGAAAUCGAUGCACAUCCGCCACUUGUCGCUUUUCUUUUGCACCAUGACUAUGUUGGCGAGCCACAUAGGGUAGGCGACUGGUUUUAUGAAAUUGGCCUCCAGCAGGCGGUGUACUUCGGCUUUUGCGGCUUCUGUUUUUUCAUCGGACAUUUUGCGCAACCGCUGCUUCUUUGGGCGCACCGAAGGGUCGAUGCCCAGACUGUGCUCGAUGAUGAUGCGACUGACUCCGACCAGGUCGAGGGCAGACCAGGCGAAGACGUCCUUAUUUCUGGAGAGACAGGAGAUGAGUUUCUCCUCGUCUUGCAAAGUCAGGUCUUCGCUUAUAAUGACUGUUUGCUUGGGCAUCGCCGGGUCGAGGGGAACUAUCUUCGUUCCAUCGUUGCUCUGCAGCUGUGCCUUCUCAUGUUCGUUGGCGGUUGGGCGGGUAGCUUCGGAGACUUCGCGCUGCGUCGUAAGGUAGUGUAUGUUCCGUUGACCUGGAACGAAGUCUAUCUCAAUGUUACGCGCAGUCUGCUGGUUACCGUAAACUGUUAUUACGCCUUGCGGACACAGAAUUUUCAUGCAGAGGUAUAAUCCGUGAAUGGCCGCUUUAAAUUUAUUGAUAGAGCCCCGAUCCAUUAUGGCGUUGUAGGGAUAGACCAUGUCGACGAUGUCAAAGGUGAUCUGUUCGCUUCGCGCAUUGGGUGCUACACCGAAGGACAGGGACAACUUUAUCUUGCCCACAGGGAAGGUGCCCUUGCCGCCAAAGCCAUAUAGGGGAUUGUCCGAAGGCUUGAGUAAGUUGUGGCUGAUGCCCAUGUGGUCGAAGGCGUGGAGGAAGAUAAUUCCCGUUUGGCUGCCGUUGUCAACGAGGACUUUGUGCAUGUCCUAGCCUUCUACACUGCAGUUGAUUACUAUGGCGUCGAUGUGCGGUGCGCUGCGCAGAUCAACAUCUCUGGUGUCAAAGGUUAGUGGCACAUGUGACCACUUCGUUUGCACAACUAGGACGGUGAUGGCGACGUGGUUGACGCUUCGGUAGUGAUCCCUCUUUUGUGACUUCGUGUCGAAGUCGACGCUGGACCCUCCGGUGAUCAUGUGAAUGACUCCGCGAUGCGGCUGAUCGGCGAAGUCUUCUUGUUUUGGUGCUUGGGGUGAUUUUGGUGGUGUAGGUUUGGUUGAUGCGGAGGCGGGAGUGGGGGUGGUACGACUUGUACCUCCUGGUGGUGCUGAUAUGAGUGGUUGGGUAGAUGCUGGGUGUGGUCGUGGUUGUAUGGUUGUGGGUGGUGGUGUUGAUAUGUGUGCGCGACAACUCUUUGGUUGUCGGCGGGUUGUGCCCGAGACAUCCUGUCCCUGGUGGCCUUCGUUUCCGGGCAAUCCCUCGUUGGGUGCGUGCAGUCUUCGCCGUGAAACAUGCAGUAAUAUCUGCGCGGUUGCUGCGCCCGUCCCCGGCCUCGGCCACGCGUGCCAUUGCCACGGCCCUGGGGGGAUAAUCUUGACAGGGAGCGUCCUCCCCGGUGGGGUGCUGGUUGGCUAUGUUAUGCACCUGCUGCUGACUGCAGUUGUCCCGACCGGAGUCUGACUCCGAAGGCCUUGUCCAGGUUCGGCUGGACUGCGGAGGGUCCUUGGGCUUUCUCUGAGACUCGACCUUGCGCUGAUGGAGCUCUUCGGAUCUGGCGUACUUCUCAAACAACUGAUAGAGCUCUUGGAUGUUUUUUGGUGUGUCCCUGAUGCAGUGACUGUAUAGGAUGCCAGCCCGAAGGCCACUGAUGGCAUAGUGUAUGGCAAUUUGGUCGUCGACCGAAGGCAGUUGUGACUUGAGAGUCAGGAACUUGCGGUAGUACUCCCGUAGGGUUUUCUUCUCUUGUUGUUUGCAGAGCGACAGCUCAGCCAAGGCAUCGGUGUCUGGGCGGUACCCUUGGAAGUUAAGAAGAAACUUGUCUCGGAGACUUGUCCAGGAGUCGAUGGACAAUGGGGGCAACCUGGUGUACCAGGUUAGGGCCGGACCCUCGAGGGCGAUGAUGAAGGACUUGGCCAUUGUGGCGUCGUCCCCUCCGGAUGAUGCAACGACGACUUGAUAGCUCAUGAUGUAUUGUGAUGGGUCGGUGCUGCCGUUGUAUUUAGGGUAGGUCCCUGCCCUGAAGUUGGCGGGCCAUGGUGACACUUGGAGUUGUGGCGCCAGGGGGCUUCGCUCAUCGAGGUAGUUGAUGCCUUGGAAAGCUGCUACGUGCGGGAUGAAGGGUCCGCGCUGAGGAAUGAAUAAGUCUCCAGCUGGCGCACGCUGUUGGAGGGGGGCUGUUCUGCAGAUCGUGUUGGCCUUCGCGCUGCAUGAGCGCAAUCUCUUGCUCGAGUUCUCGAGCCCUCUGCUCCUCAUCUCGUAUCAUCUGGCGCACCUUGGCUUGCGCGGAGACACGUUGGCGCUGGGCCUCGAGGAUUUCUUUCUGCUUUUGGAGGUUGCGGUUCUUGAUGCGCAGGGCCCGUAGCUGUAGCUGUUCUCCUACUGAGAUGCCGAUGACUUCGCCGUCCUCUGUUGCGUCCUCGCCCUCUAGUGGAGCGAAGCCUGGGGGCGGUUCUUGUGGUUGUCCUCCAGAGCUGCAGGUGUGGAGGGUGCCUUCGGGAGUGGGUUGAUCAUUGCACUGUCUCUUGCUGAGUGCGUCGUCUUCGCAGGCUUCUUGGUGGGUGUUGUUUGCGAGGGCCUUGCCCUUUUUCUCGGCUAGCAGUGCUGCCUUCGCUGCUUCGUUGAUGGAUGGGGCUGUCUUCGAGCUAGCUCUCUUGGGUGCCAUCAUGGGUGGUUUGUUCGUAGCACGAACGGUUGGCGCCAAAUGUUGGAACUUGCUCUCCUGGGCAAGUAGAUCCAACGGGGGAGUGGAAAAAGUGAAAGCAAGGUUUAACUCGAGAUGGCAAUUGCUCUGUUAAUCCAGCAUCUCAAGGGCACUGUACGGGGGUAUUUAUAGGUGUCCGAGUGCCCAACAUCCCGAUGUAAGGACGUUUAUGCCCUCAGGCACCUGGACUAUCCCCAGAAUAUUCCCAUAAGGGAGGGUUACAGACUGUCAUUACAGAAAAGCUAUUACAAAUCGGGUCUGUAACACGCUUCUCCGUGCGGGGCCUGUUACAAUGGGCCGAAUCCCACGUGGGCCUCCAGGUUGGGUGAGGACAUGGAUUGAGAGAGACUUCGUCGUAGGCCUUCGUCUUGCAGAGAGGAGGACGAAGGGUGGGACGCGCCGGUCAUCUUGCCUCUGUUGGUGCAGCGAGGUGACGAAGGCCUGGAGCGAAGGGUAGCAUCUUCUUCUUUGCCCCAACACACACCCUAUGCACUGCAGAGUGGGACCCACUCGUCAACUACCGAUUCUGCUCGUGUCGUCUAGUGGAAGUAGUGCUGGUCGCUUACGAGUGGACCCUUCUUGUCCGGAUCGUCCCCAACUUGCGGACGAGUUGUUCCAACCACCUUGCGUUGUGCUACCGGGGAAAUCGAGUCGGCCUCCUCCGUGCUCGGGGUUAAAAGCCGGGACCCUUGGGCUCGACUCGCGCAUCCCCCUUGACCAUCCCAUCUCCCGCUCCUUCCGCCGUAGGACCCCUCGGCCAUGAGGCGAUCUGGGAGUCAACCCACCGCUAGAAAUCAACGCCUCCUUCCCUUAUCCAUUGAUGUGGAGUACCCUGGGUGACCGAGGCGACUCGGUGGACAUCACGGGAAGGGCUCGGUGGCUACGUGAGGUCUGUGCGUGCGGAAUUGCUCGCCGGGGUUGGGAAAUCACCGCAGUGCCGCAAGAUGUCGGCAUUGGACCUCUGCACAACGCGAUCCUUUGACAAGAAGUCCUUGCUGAGCGCACUAGAUCCCUAGCUACGUUCUACACCUCUCGAUAUGGUGUUUGGGCCACUAUCGCGUUGAUUUAGUUGACGCCGGUAAUGGCAUCGCCGUCAUGCAGGGGCACCACCGCUCUGGCCACCGGUGGCGAUGGGUGGUGGUUUCUGACCGCCAAUUACCGCGCGGAUGACUAAGAUUAGCGGUCGGGUACUGAUUUGGGGGGGGGUGAAUCGUGACCGUCGUGAUCCGAUCUAUCGGCUCAGGUGCGAGUUGUGCGUGGACGAGGCUGAGCCAUGGAUCUCGGGUCCAGCGGUUGUCAGCGCGUACCACUUCGUUGUGCGUCCAAUCUAAUUUGAUCCAUUGGAUUAGAUCGGAUGAUCCAUAUUAGAAGUAGCCCUUGACCGAUGCCAUUUUGCUAAAGUGGCCCUAUAAUUUUAGGUUAUGAACCAGUGGUCCCGAAUUGUGUGAAGAAUCUCACUUUGAGGUCCAUGAUUUUUAUGAAACAAACCCUAAAAUUCUCAAAAAUAAUGUGCGCAGUCCAGAAACCUAAAAAUUAGCUAAAUUAAUAUAGAAAAUGAUUUUCUAGUAUAAAAAUAAUUCUAAAACUUGUUUAAUUCAUAGAGAAUCCAAUUUAAUUCCGUUUUGAUCCAUUCCAGUUGCAUUAAUUUUGUUUUAAUAUUGUUUAUCAUCUGGUAACUCUAUUCCAUCAUGAAACAUAGAGUAAAAUGAUACACUUAAUUUAUCCUAUAUUAAGCAUUUAAAACUUCGAAAAAUCAUAACUUUUUAACCGUAACUCCAAAUUUAGUGAUUCUCAAACCUACGAUCUCGUUUCAAUCCGAAUUUAGUGACGUCUGUGCGUGCGGAAUUGCUCACCGGGGUUGGGAAAUCACCGCCGUGCCGCAAGACGUCGGCAUUGGACCUCUGCGCCACGAUCCUUUGACCAAUGCCAUUUUGCUAAAGUGACCCUAUAAUUUUAGGUUAUGAACCCACAGUCCCGACCUAUGUGAAGAAUCUCACUUUGGGGUCCAUGAUUUUUACAAUACAAACCCUAAAAUUUUCAAAAAUAAUGUGCGCAGUCCAGAAACCUAAUAAAUUAGGUAAAUUAAUAUAGAAAAUGAUUUUCUAGUAUAAAAAUAAUUCUAAAACUUGUUUAAUUCAUAGAAAAUCCAUUUUAAUUUCUUUUUGAUCCAUUCUAGUUGCAUUAAUUUUGUUUUAAUAUUGUUUAUCAUCUAGUAACUCAAUUGCAUCAUGAAACAUGGAGUAAAAUGAUACACUUAAUUUAUCCUAUAUUAAGCAUUUAAAACUUCAGAAAAUCAUAACUCUUUAACCAUAACUCCGAAUUUAGUGAUUCUCGAACCUACGAUCUCAUUUCAAUGCGAGAAUAUUAUUAUGCAGUAUGUUCUCAUGUUUGGUGUGAUGUUAAUUUCUCCUGUACCAUGUUUUCUUGUAUUGUUGCGAAUAGAUGGGCAAGUGACUGAGGACCCAGGAACUCAGUAGGUGGAAAAUACUGAGCAAGAGCUCGUUGAAGGAAAGUUGUGCCCUUGAUCACUUCUAUUUACCCAAUAAUGUUCUUGUUAAUCAUUAUGAUCUGCAUAGGUUAAUUUUGAUGGGACCCAAUAGGUCACCCCAGUUUGGCUAUCUUUAUACCUUGUUUACCACUGAACUUUUGGGUAGUACCUGCUAUUGCUUUAUGUGGUUUUGGGUGUUAAGAUACACAUUAUUCAUAAGCAUGCUUUUUUAUCAAUUUGUUAUUUACUGUUCAUGACAAGAUCAUUAUGUUAAUUGGAACAUGGAGCGACCACCCGGGAAAACAGUGCUACCACAAGGGUGGUAUGGGACGCCCUUGGCUGACUAAUUAGGAAAGCUAGUGGAGGACUAACUUACCCGAAAGGGGCAAGGGCAGUAGGCGAGUGGUCGGUAUAGGGAGGUUCUCGGGUUGAUUUUGUUGCGAUGGCUUUUCAAACGGGAAUUCCUAUGCUCCGCUCCCUAGAAACUGUAGCGGGUUUUCUGAAGCUAGUGGAACUUUGUAAAGGCCUCAUAGUGUUACCCUGCCUCGCUUCCUUGGUAGAGGUGUAUGGGAUUCAUGACCCCUUGAUAGAUGGGUAACAUGACUUGUGGGUAAAGAUGUGCAACCUGUGCAGAGUGUAAAACUGGAAUACCAGUCGUGCUCACAGUCAUGAGCGGCUCGGGCCCUUACAUGAGUAACUUAUGAAAUUAAAUUUAACUGGUCAUUUGCAUCGCAAUGUGGUUUAUUAUUAAUUUUGAUCUAUUAUUACUCUAGUUUGGUAUAUACUUACAUGUAGUAACUACUAAUAUAAUUUGACCAACUUAUUAAAAGCAAUGCUUAGCUUUAAUCAUUGUUUGUUGAUCAGCCUUACACUUCACAUGAACUCCCACCUUUGGUGAGUUCAUGCACAUUAUUCCCCACAACUUGUUGAGCUAUGAUCUUUUGUGAGCUCACUCUUGCGAUAUAUAACCCCCCCACAGGAGAAGAACAUGUGGUCCAGGAGGAGGCCUACAACAAAG